GUGACUGUCCCGGUAGUGAUUGCAUUUGUUAGUUAUACAGUGCAGCCGUGGACGGUCUCGUCCAUCAGAACAGUUGGUUCCUGCUGACAGAGUCGGCAGAAUUAGCAGAUUUUCUGUGCGAUGGCGCCAUACAUA